rnacentral:rRNA from 1 species
UACGGGGGGUGCGAGCGUUGUCCGGAAUCACUGGGCGUAAAGGGCGCGUAGGUGGUUUGAUAAGGGUGUGGUGAAAGUCCGGAGCUCAACUCCGGAUCUGCCGUGCCGACUGUCAAACUCGAGGGCUGUAGAGGCAGACGGAAUUCCCGGUGUAGCGGUGAAAUGCGUAGAGAUCGGGAGGAAGGCCGGUGGCGAAGGCGGCGCUCUGGAACGUUUCUGACACUGAGGCUCGAAAGCGUGGGGAGCAAACAGGG